UCGAGUCCUUAGCAGGCUAUUUUCCAUCUAUAUUAAACAUUUUAUCCUUGUAUUUUAUGAAGUCAGGAUUAUUAAAAUCCUUGUUAAGAUAUAUACAUUAAUACCCAAAUAUUAUGUGUUUAUCAUGAAAUGAUACUUAUUGGGGAAUUAUGCAAAUACAAUAAUUUGAGUGUAAAACUUCAGAUUAAGACUUUGUAAGAAGAAAACAACCCUUGGUCAGUGACCUUUUUGUCAUUUUGAAUAUAGGAGAAAAGGUAAUAAAAACAUCCUUCUACCUCUUGAGAAUGGCCUUGACACGAAUAUUUGGAAAGUGCUUCAAAGAAGAAAAGGGCUGACUUACCGGUGAGGAGAUUGGCUCCCCAUCCUCAUUUGACCACGGCCUUCUCCUGAGUGGCUCAGAAGAGCAGGAUAACUGCCCUUGAAAUGUACUGUGAACACGUGGGCCAAGUACACCUGGACUUGAAGUCGGAUUUCCCUGGCUGGAAAACACCUUGUGCCCCUUGUCAUCUGAUGCAGCCACACAGCUCAGCUUUGGAGAAUAGAACCAACGGCCCAGGGACAAGGAGAGGUCUCUUUCUCUAUGGAAAAAUAAGAAAGGCAUCACCUGAGGCUGUGCUAAAUUAACAACCAGAAGGGAGAAGGCUUAGGCAGUUCAGUGGCUCCUUGUCUUCCCCCUCCGAGGAACUGAAAGAAAAGAAAAACCAACAUCUCCAAGUCUAAGACAUUACCUUCCCACAGGCAAUACCAUGUAGUGACUGCCCUCAUGACGACCUUCUCUAGGCACUUCCCACCCAUGGGAGAAGAUACAAGAUAGAGGUUGUUACAUGGAAUUUUUGAGCAUCAGGAGAGUGCUGCUUUGAUAAUUUCAUCUGGAAAAAUUGAAAGUUACCUUAAACAUAAGCUUCAGCAUCUACAACAGCCUGGUAUACAAAAAAUGGUGAACGUUUGCCUUCCAGUUCAACGAGGGAAGAGAAAAUCUAAACAACAUAAAAACAAACAAUUAAUAUGGCUUGAUAUUUCAAAAAGCUAAAUUAAAUUCAGCAUGUGAUCAACUUACUAACAAAUCACAUUGGAACAUGGGGAUCCUCUCCAAAGGGGAGAGCUGGUAGAUGGGGUGGCUGUGUCUUUCCAGCUGGUGAUUGCUUAGACUGUAGAGCAGAACCCACCAGCUCAGCUUUGUUUGGUUGGCAAUUCAUCCUCUUUUGAGUCUAUUCGUAAAUAUUACACAGAAAUAACAGCUUUAAACAAGCUUUAUGUGUGAUUGCUAGAGUUGGUUUAACGCUUUAUUUAACACUACAUGUUUAGCUUGCUUGAAUACACUUGCACAGAUGUUCUGUUCUAUAAAGGAUAGAAAAGGACAUGAGGAAACUCUUGAAAGGAAUUGUUCUUGAGAUUAUUUCAUUAUCUCUAUCUCUGCAGAGUUUAAGUCUCUAACUUGGCUGUGAGUCAUAUGUGUACUAUUUCAUUUCUCUAAGAAUGCACUAAUAAGAAUAUCCAUGUACUACAAAGAGAAAAUAUAUGUGUAUAUGUUUGUUUGUGUGUGUGUGUGUGCAUGUGUGCUCUUGUGUGUGUAUGCAUGCUCUUGUGUGUGUGUGAGUG